GUCCCCCCCAGCCGCUCUGGGUGUCUCUCUCAUAAAGUCCCUGUCUGUCUCUUUUGCACCUUCCCCUUCUUUGCUUGCCCUCCUAGCCCUUAUGUGUGUCUCUUUUUCUCUACAUUUGUGUCUCUUCCCCCUAACCCCUCUAUGUUGAUUUGUGCCCCUCCAGGUAUUUCAUCUCCCCCAUGUGUUUCUUUCCCCAAGCCCCUCAUGUGUCUCAAUUCCCCCAUCCAGUUCCUCCACGUGUAUCAUUUCCCUGCAAGCUCCUACAUGUGCUCAUUUCCCCCUCAG